CAGCCGCCGCGGGAAUACGAAGGGUGCAAGCGUUACUCGGAAUUACUGGGCGUAAAGCGUGCGUAGGUGGUGGUUUAAGUCCGUUGUGAAAGCCCUGAGCUUAACUUAGGAAUUGCAUUCGAUACUGGGAAGCUAGAGUAUGGGAGAGGAUGGUAGAAUUCCAGGUGUAGCGGUGAAAUGCGUAGAGAUCUGGAGGAAUACCGAUGGCGAAGGCAGCCAUCUGGCCUAAUACUGACGCUGAGGUACGAAAGCAUGGGGAGCAAACAGGAUUAGAUACCCCGGUAGUCCCUGUCUCUUAUAU
rnacentral:rRNA from 1 species